AUGAACGCUAGCGACAGGCCUAACACAUGCAAGUCGAGGGGCAGCACAAGGAGCAAUCUGAGGUGGCGACCGGCGCACGGGUGAGUAACACGUAUGCAACCUGCCUGUAAGCGGGGAAUAACCCGUUGAAAGACGGACUAAUACCGCAUAAUACUAAAUUACUGCAUGGUAAUUUAUUUAAACAUUUAUGGCUUACAGAUGGGCAUGCGCAUGAUUAGCUAGUUGGAGAGGUAACGGCUCCCCAAGGCAACGAUCAUUAGGGGUUCUGAGAGGAAGGUCCCCCACACUGGUACUGAGACACGGACCAGACCCCUACGGGAGGCAGCAGUGAGGAAUAUUGGUCAAUGGACGAGAGUCUGAACCAGCCAAGUCGCGUGCAGGAAGAAUGUCCUUAAUGGAUUGUAAACUGCUUUUGCAGGGGAAUAAAGUGCAUCACGUGUGAUGUUUUGUAUGUACUCUGCGAAUAAGGAUCGGCUAACUCCGUGCCAGCAGCGGC
rnacentral:rRNA from 1 species